GACGAACGCUGGCGGCGUGCUUAACACAUGCAAGUCGAGCGGAAAGGCCCUUUCGGGGGUACUCGAGCGGCGAACGGGUGAGUAACACGUGAGUAAUCUGCCCUGGACUCUGGGAUAGCCACCGGAAACGGUGAUUAAUACCGGAUAUGACACCUUGCUGCAUGGUGGGGUGUGGAAAGUUUUUUCGGUCCAGGAUGUGCUCGCGGCCUAUCAGCUUGUUGGUGAGGUAAUGGCUCACCAAGGCUUUGACGGGUAGCCGGCCUGAGAGGGUGACCGGUCACACUGGGACUGAGACACGGCCCAGACUCCUACGGGAGGCAGCAGUGGGGAAUAUUGGACAAUGGGCGGAAGCCUGAUCCAGCAACGCCGCGUGAGGGAUGACGGCCUUCGGGUUGUAAACCUCUUUCGGUGGGGACGAAGCGCAAGUGACGGUACCCACUAAAGAAGCACCGGCCAACUACGUGCCAGCAGCCGCAGUAAGAC
rnacentral:rRNA from 1 species